GUGGCCUUCGCUUUGCGCCUCCGCGUGCCCUCGAGCCCCCGGCGGGCCGAGGCGGCCCUCGGGGAGUCCGGCCCCCGGACAGUGCUCCCCUCGCGUCCGGCCCGCGAGGCUUCUCGGCCUGCCUGGGCCACCCCGCCGCCCCGCGAGCGGCGGCCUUCUCGUCCUGCACGCGCCGCCUGGGCCCGCCCGGGGAGGAGGGCCCCGUGGGGCCGGGGCGGGCGAGGAGGGAGGACGGAGAUGCGCUCCGGGCCCGGAGCGUGGUGGAGCGAGGGAGUGACAGGCCCGGUGGGCGCCCUGGGGGAAGAGGCCAGUCUGCUGCCCACACCCUGAGCCCACUGAAGCUGGAAGACCGCCAGGCCUGGAGCGCUCUGAACAAUUUAGCUCCUAGGUGCAUGAGAAGCCCAACGGAGUAAUGGGUGCUGAUGAGUUUCGCACCCGGAGUCUGAAGAAAAUGAGUCAUUAAAGGCAUUCAGGGACUUUGCUGUGUAGCAAGAGAUUAGUUCUCACUAAUGUUAAUGGCUGAGAUUUCAGCCCUUGGGAAGAAUCAAGGACCAAGUUCCUGGUUGCGAUUGGCGAGGGCAGAGAGGUCUUUAAAGAAGAGCAAGGUUUCCUGUCAGUGGGCACAGGAGAGGAAGAGGAGAAGAGAAAUUCACAUCUCGUCCGAAGUCCGUGGUGGGAAGGACUGGAGCAAGAUGGGUACCUAGACCCCUCAACUUAAUGUUCCACGUUGCUGGCUUUGUGGAAUCAGUACUGGAAUUAAUAUUAAUCAAUGGCAAGGGAGACCAGAACAGAGGAUGGUCCUGUGAUGGAUGGUCACAAGCUUCUCCCUGCUGUGAAGUAUCUUUCCUUCAGAAACGACUCUUUCCAUUCCUUUCAUGUAUUUGCCUUCUCUGGAAGACUCAUUAUGAGCUUCUUAGGACAGCCUUUGCUUUGUAUUUGAGGCCCAGAGAAGUCGGGCAGUUUGUUCAAGCCCGCACAGCUAGUUAGGGGCAGAGCCGAGCCUAAAAUCUUGGGCCAUUUCCAAAUCCAGUGUUCGCCCUACUGUAUCACACUGUGAAACUCUUGAGUUGAUCACUGUGAGUGCUUAAUAAAUAUUAGAUUU